UGUUUUUAUGAUAUACACAAAAGGUUAUUUCUAUACGAGAGGCUCUUUAUUAUCUUUAUAAACUAUCUUUCGAAUUUAUUUCGAAGUAGAUAAUUUUCUUAAAGCUUCACUUAUUCGUUUCGGUAAUUCAGAGAAGCCUUGUAUUUUUUGCAAACCCCAUUGUCGUUGGUCCCAAUUUUAAUAACACCGUUUUCUUCCUCUUAUCCCACGUUUCCUUAUGUUAUCUGAUGGUAUUAAGGUAAAAUGUUUUCACUAAAGAUGAUCAACAUAUAAAGUUCUGAAGAUUAAAAUUAACUUCAUUAAGCUAUGUCAGCCUGUUAAUACAUUUUCCUUGGAAUUGAGAUUAUUUACUGUAAUACCAAAACCAACAACAGAUGGAAGGCUGUAGUAACAGUAUCAACAGCAUAUGCAUGACUGCAGCUCUUUUGUUACAACUACUGCUACAGUAAAAGAUUAAUUAGACUGAAGAUAUAAGGACUAAAAACUUCAUCAAGCUGCUGUCAGCCUGUUUCUGAAACUCUUAGUUGAAUGGAUGUGAACUAUUUCCUUGGAAUUGAGAUUGUUUGCAAAAAUUCCUACAUAAAUGUUUACAGGGAAAUUUUCUUUAUAAAUUAAUUUAGAAAGCUAUACUGUGAACUUUUAAUAAUUUUAUACUUUAAGAAUUUCAUAUCUGGAUAUACCUUGUUAAUUGGAAUGACUUUGAUAUUUUAGUUGUUGGCUGUCACAUGAUAAACUAAUAAAUCCCUUUGAAGUAUUUUUUUUAACAGUUAAGUCAUCAGACUUUACAAAGAAUAUCACACAGAAAAUUAGAUAAAAAGUAAAAGUUAUGGAUGAAAAAGCAGAACCCAAAAAUAUUGAUUCAUCAGAAGAGAAAUUACAUUCUUGUGAUAUAUGCAAGAAGUUAUUCACAACAAAAAAGAAUUUAAUUCAGCAUAAAUUAAUUCAUUCAUUCUCUAAUUUUUAUCAGUGUGAAGUUUGUGGCAAAAGGUUCACUGCAAACAAUUUAUUUUCUCUCCAUAAAUGUAGUCAUUCAGGAAAAAAACUGCACCACUGUGAUAUCUGUGACAAAAAUUUUUCUUCAAGUGGCAGUUUAUCUACCCACAAGCGUAUCCACACAGGGGAGAAACCAUACCACUGUGAUAUCUGUGGUAAAAGAUUCUCUCAGAAAGGUAGUUUAUUUACCCACAAGCGUAUCCACACAGGGGAGAAACCAUAUCUUUGUGUAGUUUGUAACAAAGCCUUCUCUGAUAGUCGUAGUUUAUUUAUACACAAACGUAUUCACACUGGAGAAAAACCAUAUCACUGUGAUAUCUGUGAUAAAUCAUUUUCUACAAAGGGUCAUUUAACUUGUCACAUACGUAUUCACUCGGGAGAGAAACCAUACCACUGUGAUAUCUGUGGUAAAAUGUUUUCUGGAAGUGGUGACUUGUCUUCCCACAAACGUAUUCACACAGGGGAAAGACCCUAUCACUGUGACCUGUGUGGUGAAACAUUUUCUAGAAAUCAUAAUUUAACUUAUCACAAACGUAUCCACACUGGGGAGAAACCAUACCAAUGUGAUAUAUGUAAUGAAGCAUUUUCUACAAGGAGUCAUUUGUCUUGCCACAUACGUAUUCAUACAGGAGAAAGACCUUAUCACUGUGAAAUCUGUGGCAAGACUUUCUCUCAAAGUGCUCAUUUGUAUCGACACAAACGUAUUCACACUGGUGAAAGACCAUACCAGUGUGAUAUCUGUAAUGAAAAAUUUUCCAGAAGUGAUCAUUUAACUCAGCAUAAACGUAUCCACACAGGAGAGAAAUCAUAGUUGUAUAUUUGUAGUGCAAUAUUCCUUUCAAGUAACAAUAUAUAUAUAUAUAAUAAAUGAAUUUUUUAAUGAAUAAUCAGGUGGUGCUCCAGCAUGGCCACAGUCAAAUGACUGAAACAAGUAAAAGAAAAGAAAGAAUAUCAGUGUUAUGAAUUGUAGCAUGCAAGUAUCAUCAUCAUUAUUUUAAUGUCCAUUAUUCAAUGGUAUGCAUCUAGAGCAAUUGAUGUUUCGAUCCUAUUAACCCACCAGAAUGCCCCUACAUCCUUUUCAUUCCAUUUUAAUUUUACCUACUUCCAAGGUGGCUAUGAGAUAUUGUGGCAUUUUAAUUAGCACUCUGGUUAUUGCUUUGUCUUUAGACUAAAUCAUUCCAGGUUUUGAAUUUUUUUUUAGCAUUCUUGACACAUUUUGUUAUUGCUGCUUCCAAAAGCAACUGUUUGGAAUUCUUGUAUUAUAGAAUCAAGAACUAUGAUGAGCAGAAGGGAAAUAAGGAAAGAAAUGCUGUGGGCAUCUAACUACAUGAAUAAUUUACUGCUAAUCCUAACUUUGCCUUAAAGCAUCUUCAUACUUGGGUUGAAUGGCUUUUGAAGGUCACUCAUCUACAUCUUAUUUUUGCAGUACACACCAAACUAUAUUGUGUGUGAUUCUAUCAAAAAGUAUUCUGAUUGAUAAAUGCUUGAUGGUUUAUGCUUAACUAAUACCUCUUGUCAUUGUCUUGCAGUAGUAUAGUAUUUAUGGUUCUACAUCUAGACACAAAUACAAACUAAAUCCAAACUUUCUCCUGUACUGACUUACUAAAAAAUUUUGUCAGCUGUUUUCUAGACUUUGUCGUCAUACAGAGAUAUCUACCAUUGUUCAAUCCCAGCACAUCUUACUUCAUCUUUGUUGCCAUUAAUGAUAAUACAGCUACACCAGUCUUCCUUCAUCAUUUAAUUAAUUAAUUGUCUAGUGUAGUAGGUACAUUUCUUAGUUAUUAUCUAUGAUGGGCCUGUCCACAAUGUAAAAGGUAUUAUGCAUUCAACACUAAUUAAUCUGAUUUUGUCAUUGGAUUGUGUCAGUGUCAACAGUUUUGUUAGCUCCCGUAUUUCAGCUGGCUAGAGCAAUCAUAUAUUUGUGAAAUGUGUGUUUAGUUAUCUGAAAGUAUGUCCAAUGAAAAUUAAAAUUUUUGAACAUAAAAUACUGUAUUUAAUCUUUAUGGAGAAUGGGGUCAGGUGCAAAUCAUAAAAGUAUGUGAUGUUCAACACUUAUUUUUUCUAUUAACCUUUCUGUUGUAGCCUUAGCCUCUCUUCUACACUGAUGAACUUUUAAUGCAAGCUUUUAAAAGUAACAUUUUAACUCUGACUGUACAAUUCCAUUCACCCAUGCUAAUUUGUGUCUUUGUCCAAAAGUAUUUCUAUUGUCUGCCAUGUUACUGGCAAUGGAUAGAAAAUGAAAUCUGACAAUAAAAAGUUGAGCUCCUGACAUGAUAUAUAUUGAGUGGACCAAGAGUCACAAAUUCUGACUACAUAUUGCAAUCUGUGGACAUAUUUUUAUAUUUUGUGACUCUUGGCUCAUUCUACAUAUGAUUAUGGAGUUCAGGUUAUAACCAUUAUUUUCAUUUUUAAUCUUGAUUUUUUUUCAGCCCUUCUUUACAAUGUAGUUUCAAAAUUUAUCAGUUGUUUUUGUGCUGCUAAGGGCUUAUCACUUAAAAUUGCAGCAUUAUCACUGGAGGCUAAUUCAAGUAGUUUUUCAACAGUAAAUCUGGGUAGUCUUCUCUUGAUUGUAUCUAUAUUCUUGCAGAAAUAUACAGAUUACAUAAUCCAUAAUAAUUAUGAAGAUGUAUAACGCAAGCUUGUCUUCCCCAAAGUUGUCUCAUUACAGUUACCAGGAGGAUUAUGAACAAAAGCAUAAAUAUCUGUGUACAAGAACAUAAUUGCAUUAAUAAAUAAAUUUGGCAUUUUAUUGAAACUUGGUAUAUCUUCAACUUUUCCUCUGUUUAUACAGUUCAACAAUGUUAGAAGAGUCCUCAGAAGUUUUCACAAAACUGUUUUCUUAACUGCUUGGCUGUCGUGCAUAUUCUUGAUGGUAGUAUUUGUUUAGUAGCAUUUCUCUUCAGACUUAUCAUCAUUGUCGUUAUUUUAAUAUCUACUUUACUGCACUUGCAUGGCUUGGAAGGCAGUAAUUGAAGCAGAUUUUCUACAGCCAGAUGCCUUUCCUAUCACCAACUCUCAUCUGUUUCUAAGCAAGGUAUAGAAAUGGCAUUCACUGGAAGAGAAAAGCGUUUUGUGUGUUAGAGUAUGCUCAAACACAGUCGAAGGAGAUUGUGCUGUGUGCAUUUGUGAGAGAGUUCUCUAAAAAGUCACCAACAGCAAUGCAGAUUUGGACAUGGCACAAAAAAUUCAAAGAGGCCAACAGGAUCUAGCUGACCACUAACAUCAGAAGAGAUGGUCGAACAGGUUCGCCAUAAACUCUUGUGUAGCCCCCAAGAAGUCCAAAAGAAGAACAAGUCCGGAAACCCAGAUUCCUCCAAUGACAGUUUGGCACAUCUUGAAGAAAUGCUUGCUAAUGAAACCCUACAAGCUGCAGCUCAUUCAGGCCAUAAUGGCAGAUGGCAAGUGAAAGUGCAAACAAUCCUGUUUUGAUAUGCAAGAAACACUUGAAGCCAAGUUCAAGGAACAUUUUGUUUUCAGUGAUGUGUCACAUUUCAUAUGAAUGGCAAAGUCAAUAAGCAUAAUGUUCGCAUUUGGGGUGAAGAAAAUUCCCAUGACAGUUGAGCACGAGAGGGACUAGUAGCACCCUCUCAGUUAAUUAAAUAAUAAAAUUUAAAAAAGGGAUGUAGCUUGAGUGACCUUCCAUUGAAUGUUCUGGAACAUUCCAUGACUUUCCAGAUGACAUGGAAGUGAAGGACUUCUGCUCCACAUAUAAAACGAAAAAACGAAAGUUAAUCUUGCCUUUUUGCAUUUGAGCUUUGGAUGAGAACCAUUGAGCGUAUGUAGGUUGUUCUUACAACUGUCUUGCGGUUAUAAGAUAUAUUGUUUUUAUUCCAAGUUAUUCUUAUAUACUAUGUUGCAUACACAACAUUGAGAAACUGUUAUUUGUAAAGUUGCAAGCACACACCACAAUGAAUAAAACCAUUAUUGUUCCUGUUUAA
rnacentral:misc_RNA from 1 species